rnacentral:rRNA from 1 species
UACGUAGGGGCCUAGCGUUGUCCGGAUUUAUUGGGCGUAAAGAGCUCGUAGGCGGUUUGGUAAGUCGGGUGUGAAAUCUCCACGCUCAACGUGGAGGGGCCACCCGAUACUGCCAUGACUGGAGUCCGGUAGGGGAGUGUGGAAUUCCCGGUGUAGCGGUGAAAUGCGCAGAUAUCAGAAGGAACGCCGGUGGCGAAAGCGACUCUCUGGCUCGUAUCUGACGCUGAGGCGCGAAAGCUUGGGUAGCAAACGGG